CCUUUAAAGAAAGCGUAAUAGCUCACUCAUUCAGAGAUCUUGCGCCGCAGAUUCUCGGGGCUAAACGUUGUACCGAAGGUGCGGAUGUCACAUUUAUUUAUAAAAGUGGCGUGGUAGGAGAGUAUUUUGUUCGGCUGUGAAGGUUGACCGCGAGGUCGGCUGGAGCGAACAGAAGUAAGAAUGUUGGCACAAGUAACCGCAAUCCCGGUGAGAUCCCGGGACGCCGAAAGACUAAGGUUUCCUUGGCAAUGGUAAUCAGCCAAGGGUUAGUCGGUCCUAAGGGGAUGACGACAGUCGGACCCGAUGGACAGAUGGUUAAUAUUCCAUCACUUCCAAAUAGUGCGAUGGGGCGACGGAGGGUUAUAAAGAGAGCGCAUUAAUGGUUUUGCGUUCGGGCAGUGAGGAGGCUGGUUAGGUAAAUCCGGCUGGCAAUACUCCAAGCUGAGCGGAAAUGCCAAGGGCAACUGCGGCAAAUUCUCUUGAACACGCUUCCUAGAAAAACCUCUAAGCAUAACUGUUUGGAAACCGUACCGUAAACCGACACAGGUGGUCAAGUCGAGAAGACUAAGGCGAACGGGUGAUUGCUCCUCAAGGAACUCGGCAAAAAAGCGGCCGUAACUUCGGAAUAAGGCCUGCCCUGCGCAAGCGGGGCCGCAGCGAAAGUUUCCCUGGCGACUGUUUACCAAAAACACAGCUCCCUGCGAACUCGUAAGAGGAUGUAUAGGGGGUGACACCUGACCAAUGCCAGAAGGUCAAACAAGGUUGGUCUAAUAUCUUCGGAUGUUAGGCUGUACUUUGUAAGCCCUGGUGAAUGUCGGCGAUAACUAUAAUCGUCCUAAGGUAGCGAAAUUCCUUGUCGGGUAAAUUCCGACGCGCACGAAUGGUGUAACGAUUAGGGAACUGUCUCGAGGAGUAGCCCGGUGAAAAUGCAAUGGGGGUGAAGAUGCCCCCUACCUGCAGUUAGACGAAAAGACCCCAGAAGCUUUACUACAACUUGAUAUUGGGCGUGUGUUUAGACUGCGUAGCAUAGGUGGGAGACUUUGAAGUUUCGCUUUCGGGCGGAACGGAGUCGUCAGUGAAAUACCACUCUGUCAUGAUGCACGUUCUAACCUCGGUGGCAAAAACGCCGAGAGACAGUAUCUGGUGGGUAGUUUUAGUGGGGCGCUAUCCUCCUAAAAAGUAACGGAGGAGUUUAUUAAGGUCAGCUAGGCGCGAAUGGAAACCGUGCCGAUAGUGUAAUGGCAUAAGCUGGCUUGACUGCGAGACGUACAUGUCGAGCAGGUACGAAAGUAGAACAUAGUGAACCGACAGUCCGCAUUAGACGCGGCUGGAGAUUAACGGAUAAAAGCUACUCUGGGGAUAACAGGCUGGUUCCGCCCAAGCGUCCAUAGCGACGGCGGAGUUCGGCACCUCGAUGUCGGCUCAUCUUAUCCUGGGGCUGGAG
rnacentral:rRNA from 1 species